UACAGAGGGUGCGAGCGUUAAUCGGAAUUACUGGGCGUAAAGCGUGCGUAGACGGUUAUUUAAGUCGGAUGUGAAAGCCCCGGGCUCAACCUGGGAAUUGCAUUCGAGACUGAAUAGCUAGGGUACGGUAGAGGGAAGUGGAAUUUCCGGUGUAGCGGUGAAAUGCGUAGAUAUCGGAAGGAACAUCAGUGGCGAAAGCGACUUCCUGGACCAGUACCAACGUUCAGGCACGAAAGCGUGGGGAGCAAACAGG
rnacentral:rRNA from 1 species